rnacentral:rRNA from 1 species
AGCAGCCGCGGUAAUUCCAGCUCCAAUAGCGUAUAUUAAAGUUGUUGCAGUUAAAAAGCUCGUAGUUGAAUUUCGGGACCAAUCUGCCGGUCGUGCCUCCGGUACGCACUGGUUUUAUUGGUUUCUCCCUUCUGACGAACCAUGAUGUCAUUAAUUUGGUGUCAUGGGGAAUCAGGACUGUUACUUUGAAAAAAUUAGAGUGUUUAUAGCGGGCUCACGCUUGAAUACAUUAGCAUGGAAUAAUGAAAUAGGACGUUUGACCCUAUUUUGUUGGUUUCUAGGAUCGACGUAAUGAUUAAUAGGGAUAGUUGGGGGCAUUAGUAUUCAAUUGUCAGAGGUGAAAUUCUUGGAUUUAUUGAAGACUAACUACUGCGAAAAGCAUUUGCCAAGGAUGUUUUCAUUAAUCAAGAACGAAAGUUAGGGGAUCGAAGACGAAUCAGAUACCGUCGUAGUCUUAACCAUAAACUAUGCCGACUAGGGAUCGGAUGAUCGUUAAUUUUUUAAUUGACUCAUCGGCGCC